rnacentral:rRNA from 1 species
GACGAACGCUGGCGGCGUGCUUAACACAUGCAAGUCGAACGGUGAUGCUCCAGCUUGCUGGCGUGGAUCAGUGGCGAACGGGUGAGUAACACGUGAGCAACCUGCCCCAGACUCUGGAAUAAGCGCUGGAAACGGCGUCUAAUACUGGAUACGAAACUGGCCCGCAUGGGCAUGGUUUGGAAAGUUUUUCGGUUUGGGAUGGGCUCGCGGCCUAUCAGCUUGUUGGUGAGGUAAUGGCUCACCAAGGCGACGACGGGUAGCCGGCCUGAGAGGGAGACCGGCCACACUGGGACUGAGACACGGCCCAGACUCCUACGGGAGGCAGCAGUGGGGAAUAUUGCACAAUGGGCGAAAGCCUGAUGCAGCGACGCCGCGUGAGGGAUGACGGCCUUCGGGUUGUAAACCUCUUUCAGCAGGGAAGAAGCGAAAGUGACGGUACCUGCAGAAGAAGCACCGGCUAACUACGUG